GUAGGUGGCAAGCGUUGUCCGGAAUUAUUGGGCGUAAAGCGCGCGCAGGCGGUUCUUUAAGUCUGAUGUGAAAGCCCACGGCUCAACCGUGGAGGGUCAUUGGAAACUGGAGAACUUGAGUACAGAAGAGGAAAGCGGAAUUCCACGUGUAGCGGUGAAAUGCGUAGAGAUGUGGAGGAACACCAGUGGCGAAGGCGGCUUUCUGGUCUGUAACUGACGCUGAGGCGCGAAAGCGUGGGGAGCAAACAGGAUUAGAUACCCUGGUAGUCCACGCCGUAAACGAUGAGUGCUAAGUGUUAGGGGGUUUCCGCCCCCCUUAGUGCUGCAGCUAACGCAUUAAGCACUCCGCCUGGGAGUACAGCCGCAAGGCUG
rnacentral:rRNA from 1 species